AGGGAGAGAUGAAAGUGAUGUUUUUGUUUGUUAUGAGGGAGAGAGAUACGUAAAACUAAUUGCUCAUAUAUAUUAUUACAAGUGAACAUGAAACCCUUUAUAUAGAAAGGAGAAGUCGGUUAAACACACAAAAAAACAAAACCAUUGGACUGACACAUGUAGUGGUGAUGGUGCAAAGCUGAUGGGGGAAGAAGGACAAGUGUCCAAGCUGGAAAAUCAUCCAAUUUCCAUAUUUAUCUUCUAACACAUAGCAAAUAUUUUACAGCUUUUUGGUCAAUUUUGUAGUACAUGAGCUUCUUUUUUGGUCCACAAGUUUUUCGAUAAGCUGCCACGACAUGAGCUACACCGAAAAAACGGCUCUUGAUUAGUUACCGUUAUAUUCUUCCUUUAUAGACAAAAUA
rnacentral:lncRNA from 1 species